GACGGCCUUCGGGUUGUAAACCUCUUUUAGCAAGGAAGAAGCGAAAGUGACGGUACUUGCAGAAAAAGCGCCGGCUAACUACGUGCCAGCAGCCGCGGUAAUACGUAGGGCGCAAGCGUUAUCCGGAAUUAUUGGGCGUAAAGAGCUCGUAGGCGGUUUGUCGCGUCUGCUGUGAAAACUGGGGGCUCAACCCCCAGCCUGCAGUGGGUACGGGCAGACUAGAGUGCGGUAGGGGAGAUUGGAAUUCCUGGUGUAGCGGUGGAAUGCGCAGAUAUCAGGAGGAACACCGAUGGCGAAGGCAGAUCUCUGGGCCGUAACUGACGCUGAGGAGCGAAAGGGUGGGGAGCAAACAGGCUUAGAUACCCUGGUAGUCCACCCCGUAAACGUUGGGAACUAGUUGUGGGGUCCAUUCCACGGAUUCCGUGACGCAGCUAACGCAUUAAGUUCCCCGCCUGGGGAGUACGGCCGCAAGGCUAAAACUCAAAGGAAUUGACGGGGACCCGCACAAGCGGCGGAGCAUGCGGAUUAAUUCGAUGCAACGCGAAGAACCUUACCAAGGCUUGACAUACACGAGAACGCUGCAGAAAUGUAGAACUCUUUGGACACUCGUGAACAGGUGGUGCAUGGUUGUCGUCAGCUCGUGUCGUGAGAUGUUGGGUUAAGUCCCGCAACGAGCGCAACCCUCGUUCUAUGUUGCCAGCACGUAAUGGUGGGAACUCAUGGGAUACUGCCGGGGUCAACUCG
rnacentral:rRNA from 1 species